CGGGGGGAACUAAUAGGCAACGGGGCGGGGGACAGGGGAGGGGUCCCCCGCCCCAACCCCGCCCCGUUGCCAUCCCUGAUGAUGUGGCAUUUCCUCCGGGUAUUCAGCUGACAUGGCAAAUUUCUUCACGACAACUAAUUUAGGUAUUAAUUAUUGUCUACUCCGAUUUCGUACGUGGGAAAUUUUAAUUAGCCCACGUUAAUUUUGACAUGGACCCACUUUCACAUGAUCAAAUUUAUAACUAAUCAGCUUGCUCAUCUUAUUUAACCCUUAUUAUUGGUGGCUUACUUCAUUUUGAGGACGACAAUCGUCUCAACCUUUGGUUUUUUCCUGUUCUUGGAUAGAAGAAGAGUCUAGAAGCAAAACAAUCAAACAUAAAGGGACUCUACUCUAGAUCAUAUGUUAUCUUUUCUAGCAGUCCAUUAUCAAGCUCUUGUAUUACUUACCUAAAAGAAGGAAUUUCGUGUUUGGUUGAGUGAUAUGUUGUGUUUCCAUUAAUGAACUCGACACAAAGAGGAGUGAUUAAUUAGGGACUAACUAAAGGGAAAGGGAAAAGAAGAUUAAUGUGUUCACCGUUGCCAAAAUUAUGUAAAACCAUAAAGAAAGGGUCAUACAUACUUCAUUUGGUGAAAUUCCCAUUACCAAGCGAUGUUGUCCCUUCUUAUUUUGUGACUAGUUGGGAACUAACUGAAUUUACGUACUUAGGUAAUGCUUUGCUAAUUCACUUAAGAUUUCUUAUUCAUGUCCACCGGAUAUUAGGUUUGGCUCUCGUAUAUAUGUUUCCUUUUAUUGAUUGACGGCAAAUUUCAAUUGUGUGGUACAAGUUUCCAUUAUAAAGUUAGCUAAAUAGUGUGUUAGAUAUUGAUUCUUCUCGAUCUCUUACAAUUGAUAAAGACAUACAACAAUUAGACAGGUUGAUAUGGGAGAGUUGGGUUAAAUGAUAAGAUCGGAGCUUGAAAUUUACAAAAAAAAAAAAAAAAAAAAUCAGGUUGUUGACUGCACAAUUUAUCUGUAUUAAUUAUCUCAUUGAAAUAGAUUGUUCAAGUAGUUUUAUCUAGUAAUGUGAUAUGGUAAAACUCUCUCACUUGGGCCACUACUUAUGUUUGAUGCAUGAAAACAUUUACUUACCACCAAUAUGCAUGCACAAGAAUAUUUCAGCUUCUAUUCGACAAGCUUUCUAUUUCCAUUUAAGUCAGUCAAAGAGUUUGAUCAUCCAAACUAGCAAACGCGUUUUUUCUGAAGGAAAUUAAACCAAUCGAUUUUAGCAUUUAGUGUCUUAAUUCAUUUUUGUAUCUUAUUUGUUAAGUUUUUAUAUUAGAUUAGGAAAUCUCAAAUCAAUUUCCAAAUAAGUUUCGAUCUAUAAUUGUAUUUGUUUUAGGAAGUUUUGGAGUUUUAUAAACAGCACUAGUCUAGUAAGUUAUUAUUUGAAGAGUUGAGUUGAGUUUUGAAAAUAGGUUUGAGAGAAAGCCUUAGAGUUGAGAUUUGUGAGUUGUCAUAAACGAAAGGUUAUUGUUUGAUAUUGUUAUUGUUAAGUUUGAGUUUAAUAAAAUUAUCGAGGAUUUGUUGAGCAUUUAUUUUCCUCCUUUUCCCACAUAUUUUUAUAUGCGUCAAAAUUGCUUUCGCUGUGCGCGUGUGUGCGCGUAUUUUUUCGUGGAUAUGUACUAAAUAAAGCAUCUAUUUUGGGAGAAUAAAUGUCCUCUCAGACUUGAGAAGAGAACAUAUAGCCAUAUAUGCAUCUCAUACACGCCUCAGAAAAAAAUAUAAAAAAAAAGGACAUUAUGCGCCAGUCAGUUAUUCAAGAUUCAUGAUUCGCUGAUUAAUUUAUUCCAGUUCAACUUCAUUACCCCUAAAUUAUCCAAAUUAUCACAUGCACUUAUUAAAGAUAAAGUGGCUAGCUAACACAUACGAAGCUUCAAUGAUCAAAGAAUAAUGCCUCUUUAGGAAUAAAAGAAGGCAUCAUAAUUGAAAUCCUCAAUGACUGGUGGCUAAUAUUAGUCCAGGUUACGAAGUUGUAUAGCUUUGGAAUCAGACAUUAUUCAGUGAUAAGGCCCUUUUCUUCCUCAUGCACUUGUUGAAUACUCAAUGGAAUCAAGGCAUUUAAGCUAAGAUCAAUUCUUCAUCCGAACUUUUUUGUUUUUGGACGAGUGGAUAAUGUGAUAAAAACCUCUAGAAUCAUGUAUCACACAUAAACGUGGUUAAAGACUGUGCCCUAUUUGGAUUGCUGCUUUUUUUACAGAAGUUUUUUUUUACGUUUGUUGUGAAUACAUUUAUCAAUUAUUAUUUUUUACCUCACAUAUACUAACUCGAUAUAACAUAUAUAUAUUUUUUUUAUAAAAAUUCUUACAAAGAGAAAUCUUGCUUUAACAUUGGAAAAGAUAUAAAUGUCAGACUAGACAAGUGAUGAGUACUUAGUUUAAAGACGACAGAGGAGGUUUAAAAUUUCAUUAAGAAAAUUUGUAGAAGGUGAAAAGUCACAAUCAAGAAGUUUUAAAUGAUGCACUUAACAAGUUGAUACCUCAACAAAUUACACUUUUUGCUUAUUUAGGUAACUAAAGUACUAUCCUUAUUCAACUCUUACUUCUGCUUAAACUGUACAAAACUAUUAUAUAUUACUCAAGAAAAAAAAGAAAGACAGCUUAAUAGCAGAUGGUGUAAAACUAUAAUAUGAUGAUGAAAAAUGUGUGGUUCACUAAUUUAGGACCAUUCCAAGUAAGUGCCUCCAUUUAUCAGAGUUUCAGUAUAUAUCUCAACACCAAUUGAACUAAAAUAUUUUAGUUAGAUGCUAAAACAUUCAUUAAACAGCUGGAAUGGACGCUGUUCAUUUGUUAAAGCUACCAAGAUUUUGAAUUUUCUAUAACCUUUAAUCUUCGCCACAUAAAACAAAAAAAAAAAUAAAAAUUCUGCAUGUGAAUUAUUUCCACCAAUUGUCUCCAAUAAUUUCCAAGAAAAUAAAAUCUUGUCGACUUAAUUUCUUGUUUUGAUCAGUCCAAUUAGAAUUUUUUCCCCCUAAUUCCUAUUCCCUAAACACAUAAAAAAAAGUGUGUUCCUUUCCCUUGGCUUUUACUUAAUAUGAGAGCAUUUGUUUUAGCUGCAAUUUGGAAACCAAAAAAAGUACACAAAAAUGAACAUAGACAUAGGUGGCAUGAAGUUACAAAAACUCAAGGAAAUGGAAAAAGAAAAGGCAAAAAAAAAAAAAGAAGAAGAAGAGAAUUUCAAACAGAAAAAGAUAAUUGCAAGCCAUCAUUCAUAUCCAAUUGCACAUAAUAACUCCAAGUUAGCAAUCAAAUUUGGUCAGUAAACAGAGGUCCGCAUCCAAUUGCUGAUCACAUCAAACUCCCCAACUUGCUCCUGACCUGCUGAUUCAUAAAUACAAACUUGCGCAAUUCUGCAGCCACUCUCUGCACAGUAAACUGCAACAGGGCUCUCAAUAAUUGACAGAUUCAUUACUAUGACGUACGCGGUACGCCCUUUGUCUCGCUUUCAUGGUCUUGAAUUUUGUUCACACAGUACGAGAAAAAUUACUUACUCCGACUCACUUUAAUAAUUUUAUUUUUAUUUUUCAUCUGUUUUAAAUUAUGAUUCACUUUUCAAUUGAAAAAUAUCGUUAACUUAUAACUUAUUUAAAAUAUUUUUAUUUUAAUUUACAUUAUGCAUUAAUUGCCUUGAAUAGUGCAACUUUUCAUAAUAUUAUUGUUUUUGUUAUUAAUGUAAAGGUAUAAUGAUUAAUCAUACUCUUAAUAUUAAUGUAAGGAUAUUUAAAAAAAAAACAAUAGGCUAGACUUACAAUUCCAACAAAGUUAAUUAAUUUUUUUUAAAGUGUGUGAAACAAAAAAAAAUCUAAUAUGGGAUAGAGAGAAUAGUUAACUUUAUUGAAAAAAUAAAUCUAAUAUACUGUUUUUCUAAAAUAUCUCGCACUAAUAUUGGGAGUAUGAUUAGUCAUUAUACCUUUAUAUUAAUUACAAUAAUAACACUGAUGAAAAGUUUCAUCAUUCAAGAUAUGAAUUAGGGCAAUUAUUGAAUAAAAUAAGUUAUAUUCAAUGAUAAGAAAGUACAUAAGAUAAAGGUAUUUUAGAAAAAUUAAAAGUUAAUUAUGUUUUUCAAUUGAAAUGUGAAUUAUAAUUUGUGACGGAUAACAAAAUAAAAUAAAACUAUCAAAGUGGGAUAAAAGAUGUAAUGUAUAUGCAUCGUAACGUGCAAUUGACUAUGAAUUAGUCUUUCUUACACUACACAUUAAUACAUAUAUUAACGGAUCAUCACCACGUAUGUGUAGGUUGUGUUUGGAUUGCAUUUUCCGUCAUUUUUUAUGGAAAAAUUACUGUAGCGAUUUGAUAUAUGUGAGGGAAAAAGGUGAUAGGAAAAUGUGAUCACGGAAAACGACAAUAUUUUCCAACGGAAACAAGCAAUCCAAACAAGGAAAUUCAAUCUCAAAUUGAGAUUUUUUUUCUCACGUAACUAAAUUAGAAGAUGUAUACACUAUUAAUGUAAAUUUAGAUUAAUUCAUAAUUAGUAUAAAUAUUAAUUAUAAAAAUAGUAUAAAGCAUCUAAAGUUAAAAAAAAUACUUUUUAUGCUAUCGAGUAAUCACUUUUUUUGUUAUCCAUGGUGGAGACAAUCAUGAAAAAAAAAGAUAAACUAAAAAUAGUAAUCAAAACAAAUAAAAAAAGAUAAACUAAAAAUACUAAUUAAGAUACUAUUAAGCACUAGUAACAGUGGUACACGUGUCAACACCUAACUAGCUUUCCUGGGGAAGCUUGUUCGACAUUUACCACCAAGGAGGACUAUAAAAACCUCCCCAACUCUUUCAUCGAGUCACCCCAUUGUUAAAGAGCAUUCUAAUUCUACCGGGCUCUGGCUACAUCUGCUUCUCUUUUUCUUUGUCCUUCUCAAAAGAAGCUCGCAUUCCCGUCUGGAGUGCACUUCUGCUGAGCAAAUUUCUUCGUCUUGAAACUUUGAAUUUCCAUCUUGAUCAACCAAGCUUCAACAGAGGAAAGCUUUUUAAGGUGAGUUUUUGGGAUUCUUUUUGAGUGGAGAAAUAGUACUACAAAUUGACUUGGUGAGAUAAGAUGCCAGUGAGAUUUUCUAGACAUGAUUUUAUGGCGUCUGAGUUGAUUCUUUUGAGCUGUUUGGAUUACAGUUGUUUGUUCUGUGCAUGUUUAUGCAUGAAAAGGGCCGAAAGUUUACUAGGAAAAAUUACCCAAGUGUUCAUUUUCAUGUUUUCCCUUUUCGCAGGAAUCUUAAACACCUAGGAUUUGAAAAUGUUUGAUAACUUCAAAAUCCCACCUGCUAUAUAUGGUUCAAUUUGAAUUUCUAGGAUUAGCUAGUGAUUCUUGCCUCCUCCUGUGUUGGAAAAUCUAUACAAAGUUUUCAGAAAGUAGAUAUUUUUUAAUCUUAUAUUGUCUGAGAUCUUAAUUUCUGUGGGAAGAACAAACCUCCAGAGAAUUUCCUCUUUCUCUGAAGAAAAUUUUACUGUAAAUGGUUCUUCGUUGGGCUAGCGUUUUACCUUCGGUUCGAUCUUCAGCUCGAAGUUUUUUCUUUGGGAAGAUAUUAAGAUGUUCAAGAGGUGAUUUAGAUGAAUAUUCCCACUUUAAUUCUUUCUAUUUCUUUUUCUCAAUUUUCGCGCAGAAAUUUUAAAUUUCGGGAGUAGUUUGGAUGAUUUGACUAGUAUGCCCUUUUAUUCUCUUCGAAUUUACCGUUCCUACCAUGGUUUUUUCAGCAACUAGUAGAAUAUUACCCUGCUAUGAAUCCUCAGCUCCAGCUUUGAUUUUAACUUUUAAAGGAGCAGUUGAGGUUAAACCGCCGUCGUUCUGAUCGGAGAGUUUUGUCGCUACUCGACGGUGAACAACCUAUAUACUAAUUAUUUAACUUAUUUGACGAAAUUACCCUUGGAUUCUUUCAUAUUUUCCUCCUCAACCACUGCUUGAAUAUUCUUUACAGUUCAUUUUAGUUGGCAUCAGCGGAUCUUUCCAGUUUUAGUAGAUUCGGAUGUUUUUACAGCGUUUCAUUGACAAAAAUGCCCUUGCUCUCUAGUCAAAUUUUCUCUUCUUACCACUCCCAUCAAAAGUGCAAAAUGAUUUGUUUGUCAUCACU
rnacentral:lncRNA from 1 species